UCGCUAGUAAUCGCGGAUCAGCAUGCCGCGGUGAAUACGUUCCCGGGCCUUGUACACACCGCCCGUCACACCACGAGAGUUGGCAACACCCGAAGUCGGUGAGGUAACCUUUUUGGAGCCAGCCGACGAAGAUGGGGCCAAUGAUUGGGGUGAAGUCGUAACAAGGUAGCCGUAUCGGAAGGUGCGGCUGGAUCACCUCCUUU
rnacentral:rRNA from 1 species